rnacentral:rRNA from 1 species
AAGAGUCUAGCGCCGAAUUCCGCGUCCUCGACGGAUGCCAGGGAUCUGUGGCGUUCGGGAGGAGGUCUUCCGACGUUCGGUGACGGUGCAAGUCCCCCUGACUGGGGCUCCAUCCCCGAGCGGGUGCAAGGCCCAUAGCUGCCGUGCACCGACGUCGGAUGUCCCCUCUCUCGAGUCGGGUUGCUUGGGAAUGCAGCCCAAAUUGGGUGGUAAACUCCACCUAAGGCUAAAUACUGCCGCGAGACCGAUAGCGAACAAGUACCGUGAGGGAAAGUUGAAAAGCACUUUGAAGAGAGAGUUAAACAGUACGUGAAACCGUUGAGAGGCAAACGGGUGGGCCCUCGAAUUCCGAGGGCGGGAGGAUUCAGUCGAACGGCAAUACGAGGGCGGUUUGCGGUCGGACUCCCCACUUUUAAGGAGCCGUUCGCCAACCGCUGGACGCGUGUCGAUCGGCGCAAUUUCUUCCGCCAUUCACUGACGCUGCGACCGGUCGAAUCGACGGCCAUGAAUGCGGACAAUGGAAGGUUUCCGGUCGGCGGAGAUUCUCUCUCCGUGGAGCGGUGUUACAGCCCGUCCGACAUUGGCUCGUUCGUGGGACCGAGGACACCCAGACCCUCUGUGGUCGCGACGCAUCCUUCUCCAGAAGCGGGUCGCCCGACAGUUUCUGCUCUCGGCUGGCGUUUUCACCCGUGUGUGUGCGUCUUCUGAGAGUGCUGCGUUGGCUCGGUGCGAUUUCCCGCCCGGAUGCAGGACGUCAGCAGCGAGUAGGUCGGUCACCCACCCGACUCGUCUUGAAACACGGACCAAGGAGUCUAACAUGUGCGCGAGUCAUCGGGUCUUGUUCAUGCCCUUAGGCGAAAUGAAAGUGAAGAACGAUUCUAGUCGUCCGCGUUGGGACCCCGUCUGCCACGGUGGACGUGGAGCACCAACGACCCGUCCCGAUCGCAACGUCGAUGGGGCGGAGCGAGAGCGUACACGUUGGGACCCGAAAGAUGGUGAACUAUGCCUGGGCAGGACGAAGCCAGAGGAAACUCUGGUGGAGGUCCGCAGCGAUUCUGACGUGCAAAUCGAUCGUCAGACCUGGGUAUAGGGGCGAAAGACUAAUCGAACCAUCUAGUAGCUGGUUCCCUCCGAAGUUUCCCUCAGGAUAGCUGGCGCUCUUUGGAGGCAUUCUCAUCCGGUAAAGCGAAUGAUUAGAGGCCUUGGGGCCGAAACGACCUCAACCUAUUCUCAAACUUUAAAUGGGUGAGAAGUCCGGCUUGCUCGACUGAAGCCCGGACGCGAGGAUGCGAGAACAACUCACCUGCCGAAGCAACUAGCCCUGAAAAUGGAUGGCGCUUCAGCGUCGAGCCCAUACCCGGCCGUGGCGGCUGCAAGGAGUUGUAUUAGGUCGCGACGAGUAGGAGGGCGCGGGGGUGUGCGUCGAAGGUACCGGGAGCAAUCCCGUCUGGAGCCGCCCCUGGUGCAGAUCUUGGUGGUAGUAGCAAAUACUCAAGUGAGAACCUUGAGGACUGAGGUGGAGAAGGGUUCCAUGUGAACAGCAGUUGAACAUGGGUCAGUCGCUCCUAAGGGAUAGGAGAAAUCCGUUCCGAAGCGGGACCUUUCACCGAGUUGUUGGUCCUGCCGUAGACCGAAAGGGAAUCGGGUUAAUAUUCCCGAACCCGGACACGGAGAUCGACCCCUUACGGGGGUUCAGUGCGGUAACGCAAACGACCUCGGAGACGUCGGCGGGAGUCCCGGAACGAGUUGUCUUUUCUUUGUAAGGGCUCGGCUCCCUGGAAUCGGCUCGCCCGGAGAUAGGGAUGCUGUACCCGUAAAGCACCGCGCCUCUUGCGGUGUCCGGAGCACCCCCGCCGGCCCUUGAAAAUCCGAGCGCGAGUUGGUGAUUUUCGUGCCGGACCGUACCCAUAUCCGCAGCAGGUCUCCAAGGUGAACAGCCUC